UGAGAAGAAAUGCUAGACAAACCUAUUGUAAAGUAAUCGAUAGAUAUGUUACAUGGGACGAGGAAAUGAAAUCAAGGUGAACACAAAAAGAUUAACUGGACAUUUUAUGCACAAUAUGCAUGUAACAACUCCAGGUAAUGGCCCAUCUAUCCAAUGUAGAAUUCCAAAUCACUGUCCCAAAGUUUCCUUCUUUCUUCUCACUUGUGAAAGAAACAAGCGUGAAUUUCCAACUUAGAGGAAAACACAAAGCAUAUCACAGAAGUUUUAAUAAGUAGCUGCCACAUUCUUUCUUUCUUUUUAUUCACAAGCAUGUUUAAAUAGUUGUCGUCAUAAUUGCUUUCCUACUUUUGCUAAGUAUGUUUAAAUAGCUAUCAUGUUAAUUGCUUUCCUAUUGAAAUCUCAAUACUUAUUUGAAACCUUUUCUUCAUGCAGUUCACAGUCUAGGGUAGAUCUAUUGACACUUGGUUUGGUUGCAACCAAUAUACUAGCAGGACUUGUAUAGUUGUCAAUCCGGCCAAAAACUAUCGUAGCGGUAAGUCCUCAAGGCGUGGAGUUUCUAAGGCUAAGUUCCCAUCUUCUAGAUUUGGCCUUUCUCUUUGGGACUUUAGUACUAGCGUGAGGAAUACUUCGCCGUAACCUUUUGUCAGUUUUUACUCUUCAAAUUAUGUGUGCACGUUUGUUAAAGGGAGAGCAUUGCCUAGUUUUUCCUCUUCAAGACCCUUCCUUUUGUGUGCUUUGUGAGGAAAUGUACUCUUAGACCAUCUCGUGGCGCCGGAUCAGAGUAAACUAACCUGUCUUCUCCGAAACUUCUCAAACACCUCUUCGGAACUGCUCCAAGCUGUAAGUAGAUGGAUCAAGUGCUAUCCCAAGGGCUGUUAAUCUGUCUUGCCUAUAUUACUUGCUAGGUGGAGACACUACAGUAAUUGUAGAGACGAGGGACUCGUGGUUCAAUUGUCAGAAGCUUUGUCUUCCUGAAAAUUAAGGUACAAAUUUCAAAUGCAGUAUGGAUUAAGUGGGUAGUCUAUAGGUGCUACAGUCGAUUAUGAUUAGGCUGCGAAAGACAAGCAUGUGAUUGCUUACAUUGAUGAUGGGAGUUUCCAGGUAACAACACUGAAUAUAUCUACAAUGAUUCAAAGUGGGCAAAGGAGCAUUAUGUUCCUCAUCAACAAUAGAGAAUAUACUAUUCAAGUGGAGAUUCAUGAUGUGCCAUAAAAUGUGAUCAAGAACUGGGACUAUACUGGCCUUGUGAAUGCUAUUCACAAUGGGAAAGGCAAAG